rnacentral:rRNA from 1 species
AUGGACCAAUCCAUCCCUUUUUCCCGUGCAUAUGCAUCGGACUCGGAUGACAAUGGUCCCAAUGAAGAAGUUGAUGAGGAGGGGUUCACACCGAAGGAGGCCCAAGCAUUCAAGAAGGUAUUCGGGCGGGAUCACAAGACACCAUUGUUCAAGGAUCUUAUUCUCGCAGAUGAAGCCGUCGUGGAUGGUGGAAAAUGCAUAUCUCUUGGAGCUAGGCCAAGUUCUCAC